rnacentral:lncRNA from 1 species
GUCACUCUCUUCCUCGAUCAGACUCUCACUCGGUCACUCUCAUUACUCAAAACUCAAAUCCAUCUCUCACUCAUCUCUUAGAUCUCGAUCUCUCUCUCAUGUCUCAUCUCUCAGAUCUCGGUCGAUCAAAACUAUUGCAGCUCUGAUUUGCUUGAGAAUCCAAACUAUUGCAACUCUGAUUUUCCUCAGUCCUUAUUAAAGUCUCAGUGCCUCAGUUGUGGUGAAGGUGGGUCAUCAAUUUUUUCAUAAUUUUUUUUGUAACUGGGUCUGGGUUCAUAAGUUUUUCACCUCUAUCUGUGUAAUCUUUAUAUGUUUUUAUGGAUGGAUGAUAUACUGGGAAAAUUGAUGCUUUUUUAUUUAUUUAUGAUUCUUAUGGGAAAUUGGAUGCUUUGGUGUGUUAUUUGAUUUUGAAUGUGUUUAUAAUUCUUUGUUUAAUUUUUUGAUAAAAAUAGGAUUCUAACCUUUGAUAGAACUUGGGUUGACUAUUGUGAAUGGAAGGUUGACUAUUUUGUUUUUUUCCCUGAGGAACAUAUUGAUUUUGUUUAAAUUUGUUGUUAAUGUUUGUCAAUUAUAGCUUCCUUGUAUUUAACUGAUUGCUUUGCAAAUUUUGUAUGGGCCAA